CAGUUCUUUCCUUUCACCAUGUAAAUCCUGAAGAUUGAACUCUGAUGGUCAGGUUGGUGACAAGUGUCUUUACCACCUCUCUUAGCUAAACAAUUGUUGUUUAACACUGAAGUGACAUGUCCCAACACACCGAGCCAGACAUCUGUCCAAGAUGGCUGUGGUAAUCAGAGGAGGGAUUCAGGAGACGUACAAGUGUGUGGUCCCAUCAGAGAGCGUGGGAUUCCGUGCUCUGGGUUCAAGGAAGGUGAGCUGAGAUCAUUCGGAAAUGAGUCUCUGGAAAUGAGUCUCCAUUUGGUUUUCAUGUCUUCGGCCAUUAUAACUUGUAUUGAGAAGGUGAAUUUAAAAAAUCAGUCUAAACUGGAUUUUCUCCACCUAAGCUUUCACGACAUCUCAGGAGACAGGAUACCACAGCAAUCAAACUUGGAAUUCACCUCUAACCAAAAACUGAGAUGAACAUAUGUCCGAUAAAUUCAUAGAAGCAACAGUAACAACGACCUAACUCCCUGUUUUUCACCCGACCUGACAAAUACUUUUUACUCUUUUCUCCUUUCUGUAUACCUGGAUGUUUGUCAGCAUUAGCUCAAGAGCUGGCCCCGGGGCCAUUCCUGUGGGGCUGUUGCUUAGAAGAGUUCAGUGGCCAAGUUCUGGUAAAAGACUGGUAAAUAAUUCUGCCCAGGUGUAAGGGGCUUUCCUUGGAGGUGAUAGGUUUUGGGGCCCGCUUUCCUGGGAGGUGACAGGUCUUGGGGCCCAGCGUGUCAUUACUUAGCCUGUAGAUCUGAUUUUCUUUGAAAACAAAACAAAACCCCUCAAAAACCCUGUGUUUGGAACUUCCCGUGCUGAGCCCACGCCAGUCUUGAGGUUUCCUAAGACUUGCUGAGUAAAAACAGUACUCACUAUGAGUGUCUUCCUCUGCCUUCCUCUCCGGGAAGACUGGGGAUACAGUGACCUUGUGGUACCGUGGUGAUGUUUCUCUGCACCUUGAUUUUUUUUCUUUCCAUCAGAGUCCUUGUGGCUCAAUAGGUAUGAGAGGGGUGUGUUUUAUGGAAGAACAUGGGUACAGCCCGACUGUUUCCCCGGUCAUCUGCUAUGUAUUUACUAACUUCCUCAAGCCAGGCCAGGGAAACACAAACUCUCUAAUGCUUCUCAGUGGAUUGUGCAAAUAAAAACAAGCCGGUCAGCUCUAGAAGUCUCCAAAGAGCUUGGAUUCAUAUCCCUGAGAACUCAGAGACCAUCCCCUGCCAAAGAGAGUGUCUGACGUGGAGGGAAGGGUGACUGGAUACAGCUAUGCCGCAGAGACACGGCCUUGUGACUGCCUCCUUCAGACAGCCUUUUGUGGCCUGGUGUCUUAGGGCCUAUUUCACAAACUGCUCACCAUCUCUGCUUUGGCCCUCUGAUUUAAGUGCGGUAAUUAGUACAUGGGUAAGAGAGAGAAAGGUCCAGGGAUUUGGAAGCAAAAAGGAGCUUUCUCCCCGAGCUUGGCCCUCCUGGCUCAGCCCCACUCAGAGGCUCAGCUCUGAGGCCUCCCUGGAGUUUUGCAUCAGCGCUUGGUUCAGCCCUAAGAGAAGUUGCGUCAGGCAUGGCAACUUUUGCCUGCUUUGUUUGUAUUCUCUGCGGUGACUGAAGUAUUAAUAAAUGACUCCCCCGGGGAAGUCAGUGAGACUCACGCUAGAAAACAAAUUGAUAUGUAAAACUCUUGGAACAGUGUGGACACAGCGUUUUUAUUCACUAGUGGAUAUCAGCUUUCCUUCCCAGAAUUUUAGAAGAAGACCAAGGGAAACGUGGUUUUCUCUCGUUUUCCACAUGGCCUGUACUCUCUGCUUUCAAACAGUUGGUGAAGCUGCGGGUAGACAUUUCAAUGAGUAGACAGUCCUCUUUCCAGAGAACAGAGGACAGUCGAAAGAAUCGUCCAUCGUCUGAGAUGACCCAGGGGAGGGAAAGGGUUACCCAGGUCAUUUCUUCAGCUGUUAGUCACUGCUAUGGGAGACAAGGCUAGGCCACUGAAAUAUAAAGGGUUCUUUCUUUUCUGUUACUACUAUAGGAGACCAGGCUAGGCCACUGAAAUGCAAAGGGUUUCUGAGCUGAGGCCUUCAUGAAGAUGAGCUCUGCUGCCCUGGGUUCUCCCAACUACUGAAGUCGUCAUCAGAGGCACACAUCCUUAACUGUCUCCGACGGCUGUGGACCCCACUCCGAGGCUUCUGUGUUACAGCUUCAUUGAUGAUCCUGGCAUAUCCAGAGAUACAUGAAGACUGAUCUAAGUCCUUCCUGCUAAGUAAAGAGCCUCCAGGUAGCAGCUUGGCGUUCAAGACACACUAAACUGUGGAACAUCCAUGGAAUGUGAAAAACAGCAGAAGGUCGCUUUCACAACUCCUGUCCUCACCUCAAGCAGGACUCAGACCUAGGAAGGCUUCUCUGACCUCCCUCUGAAGCAGUUGAACGAACCCUGGAGAAAGGCACGCAACCUUGGACCAAAAGAAACGCCUCGUGUCGGAACACAAAGGGGCACGGUGAGAGAAUCCCAGCACAGCUCUGCUAAGCUACCCUGAGUUUAUUACCUUGAGUUUGCGACGGAGAAGUGUGGUGAAAUGCAGGGUGGUGUGAUCUGAUGGUGGGAUGGAAACAGUAAACAUAAAUAUUCAAAACAUAAAUAUUCAAAACAAAUACAGGAUUACUUCAUUAUUUUGGCUC